AGCCACAGCCAUAUCACCCUGCAGCCCAGGACCGGUUACUCACUGAAGCUAAGCAGGGCUGAGCCUGGUUAGUACCUGGAAUGGAGACCACUAUGGAACACUAGGUUGCUGUUGGAA
rnacentral:rRNA from 1 species